AUAUCAGUCAUGCAUAGCAUAUCAAUAAGCGGAGGAAAAGAAACUAACUAGGAUUCCCUUAGUAACGGCGAGUGGAAGCGGGAGGAGCUCAAAUUUGAAGUCUUCAAGGUUUUACCUUGACGAAUUGUAGUUUAAAGAAGUGUUUUCUGUUGAAGUUUUGGUAAAAGUUCUUUGGAAUAGGACAUCAUAGAGGGUGAGAAUCCCGUAUUUGACCAUUACUUUCAGCUUUGUGAUACACUUUCAAAGAGUCGGAUUGCUUGGGAAUGCAGUCCAAAAUGGGUGGUAAAUUUCAUCUAAAGCUAAAUAUUGGCGAGAGACCGAUAGCGAACAAGUACCGUGAGGGAAAGAUGAAAAGAACUUUGAAAAGAGAGUUAAACAGUACGUGAAAUUGUCAAAAGGGAAGCGUUUGACACCAGUGUUGUUUUCUCGAAAAUCAAUUAAAAAGAGUUGGAUUUUGUGUCGUAUUGACUUUAUCGGCUUUCUUCACUCUUUUCCAGCUUUUUUUAAUGCACUUUUCGUUUAACAAGUCAACAUCAGUUUCUUUUGUUGUAAAAAGGUCAUUGGAAGGUGGCUUUCUCUUCGGAGAAAGUGUUUAUAGCCUUUGACUCAUGCAAUCGGAGAGACUGAGGUCUGCAGCGUAGAUCCUUCGGGGUUAGAUACAUUUGUGCUAAGUUAUAGCUUUUCAUAGACAACUUGUUGACUAUGUUUAGUCUUGUAGCUUACUCGCUUAUGCUAUUUUACCUACGCUUAGGAUGUUGACGAGACUGUCGAUCUCAUCUAUACAUGACUCUGUGCAUAUCAAUAAGCGGAGGAAAAGGAGUAUACCUACGCUUAGGAUGUUGAUAUCGCGCUCUCACUG
rnacentral:rRNA from 1 species